rnacentral:tRNA from 1 species
GGUUCCGUAGUGUAGUGGUUACACGCUCGCUUCACAUGUGAGAGGUCCAACGUUCGAGCCCCUGUAGAAUCA